rnacentral:rRNA from 1 species
AUGAACGCUGGCGGCGUGCUUAACACAUGCAAGUCGAGCGAGAAGUUUUGAAAAGAUUCUUCGGAUGAAAUUUAAAAUGGAAAGCGGCGGACGGGUGAGUAACGCGUAGGCAACCUGCCCCAUACAAAGGGAUAGCAUUUGGAAACGAAUAUUAAUACCUUAUGAAACUUAACUAGUGCAUGCUAGGUAGGUCAAAGAUUUAUCAGUAUGGGAUGGGCCUGCGUCUGAUUAGCUAGUUGGUGAGGUAACGGCUCACCAAGGCGACGAUCAGUAGCCGACCUGAGAGGGUGAACGGCCACAUUGGAACUGAGACACGGUCCAAACUCCUACGGGAGGCAGCAGUGGGGAAUAUUGCACAAUGGGGGAAACCCUGAUGCAGCAACGCCGCGUGAACGAUGAAGGCCUUUGGGUCGUAAAGUUCUGUUCUAGGUGAUGAAAACUGACAGUAACCUAGGAGAAAGCCCCGGCUAACUCCGUG